rnacentral:misc_RNA from 1 species
CCGAGUUUACAACUCCCAAACCCCUGUGAACUUUACCUAUCGUUGCUUCGGCGGGAUCGCCCCGGCGCCCUUCUCCGCCCGGAACCAGGCGCCCGCCAAAGACCUAAACUCUGUCUUUUAUAGCGUAUUCUGAGUGGCAUAAGCAAAAAUGAAUCA